GAUGAACGCUGACAGAAUGCUUAACACAUGCAAGUCGAUGGGGAAGUGGUGCUUGCACCAUGGCAACCAUGGCGGACGGGUGAGUAACGCGUAAGGGACUUACCUGCAGGACUGGGAUAACAGGGGGAAACUCCUGACAAGACCGGAUAAUGUCAUGGAGCUGCAUGGCUUUAUGAUGAAAGGAGACGCCUGCGGAGAGCCUUGCGUCCUAUUAGCUAGUUGGUGAGGUAAUGGCUCACCAAGGCGAAGAUAGGUAGCCGGCCUGAGAGGGUGGACGGCCACAAGGGGACUGAGAUACGGCCCUUACUCCUACGGGAGGCAGCAGUGGGGAAUAUUGGACAAUGGGGGCAACCCUGAUCCAGCAAUGCGGUGUGCACGAAGAAGGUUUUCGGAUUGUAAAGUGCUUUCAGCAGGGAAGAAGUAAGUGACGGUACCUGCAGAAGAAGCGACGGCUAAAUACGU
rnacentral:rRNA from 1 species